rnacentral:rRNA from 1 species
UACGAAGGGGGCUAGCGUUGCUCGGAAUCACUGGGCGUAAAGCGCACGUAGGCGGAUUGCUAAGUCAGGGGUGAAAUCCUGGAGCUCAACUCCAGAACUGCCUUUGAUACUGGCGAUCUCGAGUCCGGGAGAGGUGAGUGGAACUGCGAAGUGUAGAGGUGAAAUUCGUAGAUAUUCGCAAGAACACCAGUGGCGAAGGCGGCUCACUGGCCCGGUACUGACGCUGAGGUGGCGAAAGCGUG